AACGCACGAGACCUGCGGACCUGCGGAAGGAUCAUUACCGAGUUAUCCAACUCCCAACCCCUGUGAAUCAUACCUUUAAUUGUUGCUUCGGCGGGACUUCGCGCCCGCCGGGGACCCAAACCUUCUGAAUUUUUUAAUAAGUAUCUUCUGAGUGGUUAAAAAAAUGAAUCAAAACUUUUAACAAUGGAUCUCU
rnacentral:misc_RNA from 1 species